GCUAGCGUAGCUUAAGUAAAGCAUAACACUGAAGAUGUUAAGAUGGGCCCUAGA
rnacentral:tRNA from 2 species